AAUGGGAAUCCACACUGUAGUAGAGCAGCCCGCAGCUGCUGUUGCAGCUCCUGUCCUUAAACCUGUAUCUGGCCAGCCUGGUCCCCACUGGAACCCAGGGAAGCCACACACACUGCAAGAUAUACACAGAAAUGCAGAAUAACCCUCCCCUCAUACAAAUAAUAUGAACAGCCCACACACAAACAUACACACAAUCCGCACAAACGUAACCCGCUAACAAUCCACAUACAUGCACAC